rnacentral:rRNA from 2 species
UCGACCUCGAUGUUGAAUUAAAUUUUCUUAAUUUCGCAAUAGAAAUUAAAGUAAGUCUGUUCGACUUUUAAAAAUUUACAUGAUUUGAGUUCAAACCGGUGUAAGCCAGGUUGGUUUCUAUCUUUUUAUAUUAUCUUCUAGUACGAAAGGACAAAAAAUAAUAUUUUAAAUUUAUAUUUGGCAGAUAAUUGCAUUAGAAUUAGAAUCUAAUUAUACUUUUAUCUAUUUACUUAAUUCUAUUUUUCCUAUAAUUAGAAUUUUAAUUAGAGUAGCUUUCUAUACUAUUUUAGAACGAAAAGUACUAGGUUAUAUUCAAUUUCGUAAAGG